rnacentral:misc_RNA from 1 species
GCAAACUUGGUCAUUUAGAGGAAGUAAAAGUCGUAACAAGGUUUCCGUAGGUGAACCUGCGGAAGGAUCAUUAACAAAUCGUUGUUGCUCGCCAGUCUGCUUCGGCACUCUGGGUCUGAGCACAUUAACCCGAACCCGUGCAGUAAAAUGCCGGGCCGGUGCAGUGCCUCUUGGUGUGCUUGUGGGGGGAGACUCCCUCUGCACUCCUAGGGGGGCAUUGCGGGUGCUUGUCUGCCACACAGUAUGUGUGCGGUCAGGCAUCCACAUAGACGCUUGUAUUGUUUGACAGAUAGUUUGUUUGCAAAGCAAAUUAAUGACAACUUUUAACAAUGGAUCUCUUGGCUCUUGCAUCGAUGAAGAACGCAGC